rnacentral:sRNA from 1 species
UGCCAUUGCUGUCCGCCAAUAGCUCAC